rnacentral:lncRNA from 1 species
GCAUUGUACUAUUUUUUAUUCGAUGAUAUGUUCGUGUGUAGACGAAACAAGUGUUGUGUCUUGGUAUCUUUAAUUCUAUUUUUCUCCAAUCAGUUCCCAAUAACAACUGAAAAGUCUGAAAAAGUAGAGAAAGCAUAAACGUACUAUAAGAUAACAACUAGGUUUUGACUCGAAAAAUAUUCAAUCAAACGACAAAAUAUAGAUUACCAUUAGUUGUCUUAAGAAUCUACCGUACGGAUCCAAGAAUUGGAAUACGAUAUAUAUAUAUGUUUUUCGUCCGUUCCUUCGGAUAAGUAAACCGAUCCCUCGGAUUAGUAAACCAUUCGAAAAAUUAAAAUCACAAAAACAGUAAACUCCGAGGAAAAUUCAAAAUGGAAAGUCCCUAAUCAAUUUGCAAAAUCAAAAGCUCAAACACAUCGAACUAAUGGAUUACAACUGUCAUAUUCCUUACUUGAUUCAGGCAUUUUCUUAUUUAAAAGAUGGUGGACUAAACCUGGUUUUAAGCUAGCCAAUUGAAACCUCUCACCUUUAUGACAGUCGCAUCGAAUUUCGCUAUAUUGACAACGAUGUGCGAACAAAACUAACAGACAUAACAGGUAAAAAUGUGAAAAAAAGGUUACAGCAGUCAACAUUGUGUUAUAAUCUUAAUCACUAUAAAAACAAACAAAUAUGUUACAAAGAAGCACAAAAUACCAUAUAGACCAAGCACAUUAGCUACUAUUAAAAACAAGAAUGCAUUAAUUUACCAGAGUCAAUAACACAAUCACGGGAUGUAUAAGUACAGAGCCACGUCAUAUAUGUAUCAAAGAAAUAUAAAAAGCAUAUAAACAAAACACAUUAGAAAAAAAUGAAAGACCGGCAUACAAAAAAGUUUUGCAAUAGCACAUAACGGGAUAUAUAAGUACAGAGUCACGUCAUAUGUAUUACAGUAACACCAAAAGGCAUAUUAACCAAAGCAAAUUAAAUUAGCAAAAAUGAAAGACAAGACGAAAACUAUUAUAGAACAAUAAUACAAUGACGGGAUGUACAAGUAUCGAGCCACGUCAAAUGAAUAUCAAUAAAAACAGACUAAACAGUACAAGUUAUAUUCAUAAAGACAAAUAAAAGAAUAUUAUAACACGUUAUCAAGAUGAUAAACAACGUCAGUACCCAUAAUCUAUACUUCGAGACCAUCGUAUAUAAUUUGUGAAGUUGAUAGGGAAUAUUUAUCAACAAUGUUUUGGUACCUUAUGAUGAAGUUUUUUUUAGGAAAAUGACGAGACGUUCUUUGACAUACCCCUGGUUCAUCAACUUUCUGCUCAGACACUGGUGAAGUUUUACAAAGUCUUAUUAGGAGCUACAACCUCUUGAUAACCGAAUAAGUUGGGAAAUGUAUAUCUCAUAUAUGCAGUUGAAGUUGAUAUAUUGCUACUAUUGGGGGAAAUUGAUAAUUUCAAAAAUAAAAUCGUCUCGUUUGUCAUUUCUGUACUGAGGUGACCGUGUAACGUCGAUUCGAGGUAUAGGUUUAAUAAUGAGGCAGAGGAAGUCGUGUCCGUACGGUAAUUUCAAGUUCUUCGGGAUAUGUCAAUGGAUUCCAAUGAGAAAAGUUUAGAUUGUUAAUGGAAAGAAAAUCAUCAAUAUAUCUGAUAUAUAUGAUCUGAAAGUGAAAUUAAAUGACCUGGCUUCUUUGAUCUUCUUGUUUUUGACAAUUGUCUGAAUGAACUCCGAUUCAUAUGAAAAUAAGAAGAGGUCGACAAAGGCACACAGUUCGUUUCCAUAGGAAUGCUGACAAUUUGUUAAAAGAGACUACUUCUAAAAUUCAACAAAUAUGUUUUCAAAAUUAUAAUAUAAUGUGG